rnacentral:rRNA from 1 species
CCUACGGGGGGCAGCAGUGAGGAAUAUUGGUCAAUGGGAGAGAUCCUGAACCAGCCAAGCCGCGUGAGGGAAGACGGCCCUAUGGGUUGUAAACCUCUUUUGUCGGAGAACAAAACCCGGGACGAGUCCCGGACUGCGUGUAUCCGAAGAAAAAGCAUCGGCUAACUCCGUGCCAGCAGCCGCGGUAAUACGGAGGAUGCGAGCGUUAUCCGGAUUUAUUGGGUUUAAAGGGUGCGUAGGCGGUCCGUUAAGUCAGCGGUAAAAUUGCGGGGCUCAACCCCGUCGAGCCGUUGAAACUGGCAGACUUGAGUUGGCGAGAAGUACGCGGAAUGCGCGGUGUAGCGGUGAAAUGCAUAGAUAUCGCGCAGAACUCCGAUUGCGAAGGCAGCGUACCGGCGCCAGACUGACGCUGAGGCACGAAAGCGUGGGGAUCGAACA